GUUCAUGUAUGAUCACUGAAGUUAAACAAUGUUGAGCCUAGUCAGUACCUUGAUGGGUAACCACUUAGGAAUACCAGGUGCUGUCAG